rnacentral:rRNA from 1 species
GAUGAACGCUGGCGGCGUGCCUAAUACAUGCAAGUCGAGCGAACAGACGAGGAGCUUGCUCCUCUGACGUUAGCGGCGGACGGGUGAGUAACACGUGGAUAACCUACCUAUAAGACUGGGAUAACUUCGGGAAACCGGAGCUAAUACCGGAUAAUAUAUUGAACCGCAUGGUUCAAUAGUGAAAGACGGUUUUGCUGUCACUUAUAGAUGGAUCCGCGCCGCAUUAGCUAGUUGGUAAGGUAACGGCUUACCAAGGCAACGAUGCGUAGCCGACCUGAGAGGGUGAUCGGCCACACUGGAACUGAGACACGGUCCAGACUCCCACGGGAGGCAGCAGUAGGGAAUCUUCCGCAAUGGGCGAAAGCCUGACGGAGCAACGCCGCGUGAGUGAUGAAGGUCUUCGGAUCGUAAAACUCUGUUAUUAGGGAAGAACAAAUGUGUAAGUAACUAUGCACGUCUUGACGGUACCUAAUCAGAAAGCCACGGCUAACUACGUG